rnacentral:lncRNA from 1 species
CAGCGUCAGCGCCGCCAGCGCCACCCAGAACUUCAUGGUGACACCUGAGGGGACAGAGGGCACCGAAAUGUCACCAAAAUGGCACCAAAUGGCACCAAAAUGGCACCAAAAUCCUCCCAAAUGGCACCAAAAUGUCGCCAAAAUGUCCCCAAAUGGCACCAAAAUCCCCCCAAAUGGCACCAAAAUCCCCUGAAAUGGCCCCAAAAUGGCCCCAAAUGGCACCAAAAUGGCACCAAAAUGGCACCAAAAUCCCCUGAAAUGGCCCCAAAUGUCCCCAAAUGGCACCAAAAUCCUCCCAAAUGGCACCAAAUGGCACCAAAAUGGCACCAAAAUCCCCUGAAAUGGCCCCAAAAUCCCCUGAAAUGGCCCCAAAUGGCCCCAAAAUGUCCCCAAAUGGCACCAAAAUCCCCCAAAAUGGCCCCAAAUAGACAAAAAAAACCGCCCCAAAUGUCCCCAAAAUGGCCCCAAAUGUCCCCAAAAGGACCUAAAAUGGCCCCAAAAUGGCCCCAAGGUUCCCUGAAAUGGCCCCAAAUGUCCCCAAAAUGUCACUAAAUGUCCUCAAAAUGGCACCAAAUGUCCCCAAAAUGGCCCCAAAUUGAGCCAAAUGUCCCCAAAUGGCACCAAAAUGGCAGCAAAUGUCCCCAAAAUGUCACCAAAUGGAGCCCAAAACCUCUAAAAUGGCCCUAAAUGGACAAAAAACGGCCCCAAAUGUCCCCAAAAUGUCCCCAAAUGUCCCAAAUUGGCACCAAAGUUCCCUGAAAUGGCCCCAAAUGUCCCCGAAAGGACCCAAAAUCCUCAAAAAUGGCCCCAAAAUCCCCCAAAUAUCCAGAAUUGUCCCCAAAUCCCCAGAAUUGUCCCCCAAAUGUCCCCAAAUCUCCAGAAUUGUCCCCAAAAUGGCCCCAAAUCCCAAGAAUUGUCCCCAAAAUGUCACAAAAUGGCCCCAAAAUCCCCAGAAUUGUCCCCAAAAUGUCACAAAAUUGCCCCAAAUCCCAACAAUUGUCCCCAAAAUGUCACAAAAUGUCCCCAAAUGGCCCCAAAAUCCCCAGAAUUGUCCCCAAAAUGUCCCCAAAAUCCCCAGAAUUGUCCCCAAAAUGUCCCC